rnacentral:rRNA from 1 species
AUUGAACGCUGGCGGCAGGCCUAACACAUGCAAGUCGAGCGGAGCGGCGGACGGGUGAGUAAUGUCUGGGAAACUGCCUGAUGGAGGGGGAUAACGUCCGGAAACGGGCGCUAAUACCGCAUACUAUCAGAUGAGCCUAGGUCGGAUUAGCUAGUUGGUGGGGUAAAGGCCUACCAAGGCGACGAUCCGUAACUGGUCUGAGAGGAUGAUCAGGCACACUGGAACUGAGACACGGUCCAGACUCCUACGGGAGGCAGCAGUGGGGAAUAUUGGACAAUGGGCGAAAGCCUUAUCCAGCCAUGCCGCGUGUGUGAAGAAGGUCUUCGGAUUGUAAAGCACUUUCAGCGGGGAGGCGUUACCCGCAGAAGAAGCACCGGCUAACUCCGUGCCAGCAGCCGCGGUAAUUC